rnacentral:misc_RNA from 1 species
GAUGAAGAACGUAGCGAAAUGCGAUAAGUAAUGUGAAUUGCAGAAUUCAGUGAAUCAUCGAAUCUUUGAACGCACAUUGCGCCCGCCAGUAUUCUGGCGGGCAUGCCUGUUCGAGCGUCAUUUCAACCAUCAAGCCCCAGGCUUGUGUUGGGGACCUGCGGCUGCCGCAGGCCCUGAAAACCAGUGGCGGGCUCGCUGUCACACCGGGCGUAGUAGAUUUUAUCUCGCUCAGGGCGUGCUGCGGGUUCGGGCCGUUAAAAAGCCUUUUUUACCCAAGGUUGACCUCGGAUCAGGUAGGAAUACCCGCUGAACUUAAGCAUAUCAAUAAGCGGAGGA